rnacentral:misc_RNA from 1 species
UAAUAAGUGUUUUAUGGCACUUUUUAAAUCCAUAUCCACCUUGUGUGCAAUGUCCGUCGAUCUUCUUCAUGGAGAUCGACCAAACAUCAACCUUUAUCUUUUAACUCUUUGUCUGAAAAAUAUUAUGAAUAAACAAUUCAAAAUACAACUUUCAACAACGGAUCUCUUGGCUCUCGCAUCGAUGAAGAACGCAGCGAAAUGCGAUACGUAAUGUGAACUGCAGAAUUCAGUGAAUCAUCGAAUCUUUGAACGCAUAUUGCGCUCUUUGGUAUUCCGAAGAGCAUGCUUGUUUGAGUAUCAGUAAACACCUCAAAGCUUUUGGAUUUUUUAAUCGAAAAGCUUUGGACUUGAGCAAUCCCAACACCAAUCUUUUUGAGAUCGGUGGCGGGUUGCUUGAAAUGCAGGUGCAGCUGGACAUUCUCCUGAGCUAAAAGCAUAUUCAUUUAGUCCCGUCAAACGGAUUAUUACUUUUGCUGCAGCUAACAUAAAGGGAGUUUGACCGUAUUGGCUGACUGAUGCAGGAUUUCACAAGGGUCGGCAACGAUUCUUGUUAAACUCGAUCUCAAAUCAAGUAAGACUACCCGCUGAACUUAAGCAUAUCAAUAAGCGGAGGAAUCGGCAUCUUGGUCAUUUAGAGGAAGUAAAAGUCGUAACAAGGUUUCCGUAGGUGAACCUGCGGAAGGAUCACUAGUGAUUAAAUCGAGCGUGUCUUCAUUGACCGCUCACCCUUCUCACCAUCCACAUACACCUGUGCACUGUUUAGCCUGAGCCGGUUUUCCGGUCCAGGUUAUCAUUUCAUACAAACUCUAGUCUUAUGAAUGUAAACGUUUUAAUAACAUAAUA